rnacentral:rRNA from 1 species
UACAGAGGUCUCAAGCGUUGUUCGGAUUCAUUGGGCGUAAAGGGUGUGUAGGUGGCGCGCUAAGUCGGGUGUGAAAUUUCGGAGCUUAACUCCGAAACUGCAUUGAUACUGGCGUGCUUGAGGACUGGAGAGGAGACUGGAAUUCAUGGUGUAGCGGUGAAAUGCGUAGAUAUCGUAAGGAAGACCAGUGGCGAAGGCGGGUCUCUGGACAGUUCCUGACGCUGAGGCAGCGAAGGCCAGGGGAGCAAACGGG